rnacentral:lncRNA from 10 species
AAAAUUACCCAUCACAGACGGGUCUCAGAAAAGGAACUGGGAAGGUUUGAAUGACUUUACAGCCAACUGUAGCCACAGCGUGACCUUGGGCAGUCAUUUUCCUCUCUGAGCCUCAUUAUCUGUAAGAUGAGGGGCCUGAAUUGGGUGAUCUGUAAGGGUUUGGGCAUAAAAUGGCAAGGUGAGCGUGAACAUCUAGUUUAUCUCCCCUCCCGGAUUCUCAUGGGGGAAUUUCCAACGGAGUUUGGGAUGGCAGGGACUUGGAUCAGACACGGAAAGGAGGCAGAGGAUGCUCGUUAAGGUGUUUCCUACCCAGCACCCAUUUCCUUCUGCCCUACAGUAUCCCAGCUUUCAUUCAGAUUCCUGCCUUCCCUCACGUAACCCAUGUGCUUCAAGACUGACCUCAUUGCCAGCACCAGGGAUUGGUCCAAUUGGCCUAAGCGGAUUUCUAUCCCUAACCAUUGAUUGUUUCAGGAAUCCAGGCCUGAGCGGAUUCACGCAUGACGUCUCCCUGGACACAGGGAUGGGUUCACAAAGGGGUUGGAGUCACUGAGAUGUGAGGAGAAGUCUGCUGGCAGCUUCUGGGACAUUACACCCUGGUGCUGAAGAGAUCGCUGCCGGAAGAGGCUGUCUUCCUGGGCAUGUUGUCAGCCGGGGGCGGGCCGACCCAGCACGCAGGAGGCUUGCACCGCAAAGCCUUCUCGCUGAACCAGGCAGCAGAUCCAUCCCACGGGGCUUCCUCCCACGUGAGAAACGUAGGAAAAGACGCUGCAAAUCAAAGACGACCACCCUGGAGAAGCAGGAGAAACUCCCCAACUUGAGUGAAUGUAUCAACAUUUCAGAAAAUGUAGGAGGUGGAUGUUACUGUUUAAUCUGCUCAGCAUCCUUCCCCCACCCCUUUUGAUAACUGGCCUCAUCCACUGGACACACUUCUUGGAAUGAGACCCGGGCUAGGCCAAUCAGCCUCUCCCUGAAGUGUUUCCCUGAAGCUGGAAGAGAGGAACUCUGUUCCCUCUUGGAUUACAGAGCUGAAAGGAGAUGAAUUUGAUGCUACUAGUGUUCAUGUUUCUAACCAAGGGAGAUGGGGCCUAGCAAGCCUUAAUGGUCUUCAUAUAUUUUCCAUCAGACCUUUUAAGCUUCCCCCAUGGUGACCAGCCCCAGAGUAAUGCACAUUUAAUUCAACUUUCAAUGCAGGAAAAUCAAUUGCAUUGCACCACAGACUGUUUAUUACACGUAAUCUGAAGUUCAACACAUAAAGAAAUAAGCAAUAUACACAAACCAUGGCACUUAAGAGUUCAAUUUGGGGACCUAUUUCCCCCCAGAAAUCAAAAUACUUAUAUUGUCCUAAAAUAUUUCACAUUAUAAAAUAAAGUUUUUCUGUUUUUUUUUGUUUUUUAAUCCAGGCUGGAAUUGCUUGAAACUUUUUUUUUCCUUUGACUUUUAUUUUAAGUUCAGGGGUACAUGUGCAGGAUGUGCAAGUUUGUUACAUAGGUAAAUGUGUGCCAUGGGAAACUUUUAAAAUAAUAAUUAUGAUGGCUUUUAUUUUAACAAUGCUUUAUAGUUCACAAAUUGUUUUCAGAUAUCUUACCCUAUUUUGAUCUUCCUCCUCAAAUGCUUGUGAAUUAGAUAGGACAAGUAAACCCAUUUAGCAGAUGAAGAAACUGAGCGAUGAGAAGAGCCCAACUACAAGAAUGAGGAGCGCCUAACACCCACCCAGUCUAGGAUGUUAUUAAUCCCAAAAGAACUUCAUUCUAUUUGGAGCUCGUGGGGGUGGAGAGAUGGAAGCAGGAAGAACCUAAAUUGUGUCUACCACUGGAAUUCAGAUUUGUCUUGACUUGAUAAGGUAGGCUCACCAGAAGGCUUUAUGUUUUCUGCUAGUUUGUUUUGUAGGUUUUUAGAGAUCUCUCAGGUGGAGAGGGUUGAAUUCAUCAUACCCCUCAAUUCAUGGUACGUUAUCAUCACCAAGGAACUGCUCUUGUUUUAUUCAAUUACGUACUUUCCUUUUAUACACCAUCCAUAUUCCUUUUUUUUUUUUUUUUUUGACAAGGUUUCACUCUGUUGCCCAGACUGGAGUGCAGUGGCACAAUCAUAGCUCAUUAUAGCCUUGACUUCCUGGGCUCGAUAGAUCUGCCUGCCUCAGCCUCCUGAGUAGCUGGGACUACAGGUAUGUGCCACCACACCCAGCUAAUUUUUUUGUAUUUUUUGUAGAGAUGGGCUUUCACCAUGUUGCCCAGGCUAGUCUUGAAUUCCUGGGCUCAAACGAUCUGCCCAUCUAGGCUUCCUAAAGUGUUGGGAUUACAGGUGUGAGCCACGGAACCCAGCCCAUGCUCCGUUUAUAUAGAGUUCAAAAUAGGCAAGGCUAUUCUCUAGUUUCCAGGGUGGGGGUGCAGAUAAUACUUUAGUUUUUUUUUUUUAAUCUGGAUCAUGUUUAUAUAGAGUUAUUCAUUUUGCAAAAAUCUAUUGUGCUGUGUACUUAAUAAUUGGUGUAGCUUUCUG